rnacentral:rRNA from 1 species
ACCGCAAAAGAAGCAGAGGGGGCUUAGUGGUGGGGUGACUGCGUACCUUUUGUAUAAUGGGUCAGCGACUUAUAUUCUGUAGCAAGGUUAACCGAAUAGGGGAGCCGGAGGGAAACCGAGUCUUAACCGGGCGUUAAGUUGCAGGGUAUAGACCCGAAACCCGGUGAUCUAGCCAUGGGCAGGUUGAAGGUUGGGUAACACUAACUGGAGGACCGAACCGACUAAUGUUGAAAAAUUAGCGGAUGACCUGUGGCUGGGGGUGAAAGGCCAAUCAAACCGGGAGAUAGCUGGUUCUCCCCGAAAGCUAUUUAGGUAGCGCCUCGUGAAUUCAUCUCCGGGGGUAGAGCACUGUUUCGGCUAGGGGGCCAUCCCGGCUUACCAACCCGAUGCAAACUGCGAAUACCGGAGAAUGUUAUCACGGGAGACACACGGCGGGUGCUAACGUCCGUCGUGAAGAGGGAAACAACCCAGACCGCCAGCUAAGGUCCCAAAGUCAUGGUUAAGUGGGAAACGAUGUGGGAAGGCCCAGACAGCCAGGAUGUUGGCUUAGAAGCAGCCAUCAUUUAAAGAAAGCGUAAUAGCUCACUGGUCGAGUCGGCCUGCGCGGAAGAUGUAACGGGGCUAAACCAU